rnacentral:lncRNA from 1 species
GGUGAGGGUGUCUUGCUGGAGAUCCCUCUCUCUCUCUGAGGCCUUCUGAAGGUAGAGAUUCUCAUCUCCUUUUCACGCCGUGGAUGGAUUAUACCCUGAAAUAGCUCCUCUUCCAUGUGAUGUUGUGCUGUGUGAAGCAGGGAGGAGAAGCCCUUCAGCCGUGCUCCUUGUGAUGCAGCAUCGAGGCCAUGUGAGAACUACCCAGACCUUCCAGCUGACAGGUGAGGACUGAAGUAGUUGCAUCCAUCCAGCAUAGGUGCGACACGAGCUGCCACAAAGCUGAUCUGCUUUGCUCGGGGUGGUGCUGUGCCCUGCCUGCUGGCUAGCCAGGACCUCUCGGUGUCCUGCGGUGGAAUGAAUGAUACAUCACGCUCCUCUGGGCUUCCAAGGGCUUCGUGCAAAGCUGCUGCCGAUCUGAGGGAAGGCUCCCAGUUCACACGCUGCACUUCAGGUUAGAGAUUGCCUUAACGUGGUGUUCUCAGCACGGGUUAGAGACGCCCAUGGAGGCAAUGAAGCCACCAGAGGGCUCGGUGUCGUCACGCAGGCUGCCUGGCCCCCUACUCAGCGCAAUGCAAACCCUUCCUAAGGGACCGAGAGCGCUUCCUCUGCGUCUCCCUUCCUCCGAGGGACAAUACCGGGCAUGGCAGGAAAAGGAAGUCCGCGUGGUUCCCAUUGCACGACGGGUUGCUUGCAAGCAAAGAACAGGGGGAGGCUCUGGCACUUCCAAGGACCCUCUCGCAGCUGGAGCCGCACAGAAGCGGGGCUGCACGAUGUGGGGCGUUAUGCGACCCCAGUGGGCUUCUGCCUGCUGCUGGCCCUGCGUUUCGACGGCACCCCAACGAAUGCGGUUUGACGGGCUGCGAUGCGCCAGAAGGGAAUGAGGAAAGGGACCAACGAGCAGUACUGGGGGUUUUCGCCACUCGGAAGCCGACGGCCAAAACAACUCUGGUUGCAGACAGCCCCACUGUCACCGUCACCACGGCCCUUCAGGGCGUACACAUCCCCCCCCUCACCUGCCCGCCCGCCCGCGGCCCCACACAAAAGCCGCCCGCUGCCGCCCCUCCCCUAUUCAAUCAGCGGAAGGGGGCGGGGCUAAGCGGGCGCUUACCUCUAGCGAUUGACAGGGGGAGGGAGGCGGGGGCAGCGCGCCGGCAGCCAAUCACCAGCCGCGAGUAGCCGGCCGGGCCAAUGGGCAGGCCGGUGGGCGGGGCCUCGCCGCGGGGUCAGGCCGGGAGUGGAGGCGCUCGGUCGCUC